UUAAAUUAAUCAUAGUUGGAGGGUUUAAGUUGAUAAUGUGGCAAACUAUAUAAUUCUAAUUAUAAGUAAGGGUUAGAAAUAAUUCAAACAAAAAUAGAAGGUUGAUUAUGAUCAAAAGAGCAUACAUAGAGGGCUAAAGUUGUAACUUGUUCUUUAAAAGCCAAAUACAAACGAUGGAAUCAAUUAAAGCCUCGUAACCCCAUGUCGUUUGUUUCCUUGGUCCUCGUAACCCCAUUCGUUUGUUUCCUUUAUCCAUUUCUUUACGAGUCUUUAUGGGUAUUAAAAAAAUGAUCGGCAACUACUAGUUCAUGGUGUAUUCGAUCGAUCUCAAUCCAAGAACAAAAAGAAAAAAAAGAAAAAGAAACCGAACCCUCUCUUGAAAGGGUGAGUGUGCGUCACAAGCAACAAGGAAGAAAAAAAAAACGAUCGUGUGUUUAGGGAAGAAGGAGGCUGCGAAUUUUGCCAAGGAUUGCGACGUUCUUCAGGCGUCGAAACGAGAUGACACUUGUCACCCCGAGGAUUGUAGCUAGCAGCCAGGGCGCGAGAUCAUUAGUCCCGUAUAGAUCUAUACACACUUGUCACGUUCUCCGGGCGGGAGAUUCUGGUUAUAAAUAGGACUUUUAGUGGUACCUUAAAAGGUAUAUUGAAGAUGAAUGACUCACGGAUCCUCAAUUAAGUCACGUAUUAGAAUGAAUAUGUUUGUCUCUAAAAUAAUUACCCUUUUCUACAGUUUUGACAAGGCGUAAUAAUGAUUUGUAUGUUCUUGCAUGUUUACGAAUGUUAUAGUAAAAAUGGUUACCCUUGA